CAAGACACGAGGAGCUCCGAGAUGGGCGUGGUGCUUAGCCAUUCUGACUUCAGUAGGACCAGAGAUGAUUGGGUGGGAUCUGUCUCCUCUGCUUCGAUGGAAAGUCUGAUGGGGCAGCAUAGAGCAGCCAGCCAGUGGCUGUAAGACAGCCUGGAAAGGUGUCCUCAAUGAACUCACACUUUAGAGAACCAAGCUGCAGCCCAGUGACUCUUGAUCUACAUCUGCCUUGACUCACAAUGCCCCAGCCUUCAUCCAACAGCUGGUAGAAGCAGACACCCACAGCUAAACACUGAACUGAAC